rnacentral:lncRNA from 1 species
AACCUGAAAACACACGAAAAUAGCUUAAAACACUCUAAUAAGCAAAAACUAGCUAUGAAAAUACAAGAAAACAAGCUAACUAAGUCGCAUAAAUAUGCUCCUAUCAAAUUCCCCCACACUUAGCUUUUGGUAGUCCUCGAGCAAAACGAAACAAACAAAAUAAUACCUAAACGUUCCAACGUUUGCCUCAGGGAUUUCCAAUGAAACAUGACACAUUAAAAAUCACUACUCCUAUAGAUUUUAGCUAUCCUUACCCUCGAUCACACAUUUAAUCGCAGUCACCACUCACUAGCUUGCAUUUAAUCAAUUAGUUUGAGUUCCUUCCUUCAAGCAUGUUACAAAAACUGAAUUUUUUCCUUUGUGAUUACAUGUAUAUUCGUUAAUGACAACUACAACCAAGUAUUAAUGAAAGAGCAGAUCAAACUUCCACCCGUGUUUGUGAUUUUCUUUAACAGUCAUGUACUUAAAAACCAAAUCCUCAUCAUUGUGUUGGAAGGUACCCUAAGACACAAACAAACACACAAAAACGACUCUUUUUGGGUUUUUCAAAACAUUUUUUCAAAUUUUCGUAUUUUGUUUCAAAACACACUAAAACACUUCAAAACACACUUAAAACACUUUAAAAC